UGAACGCUGGCGGCGUGCCUACUACAUGCAAGUCGAGCGAACAGACGAGGAGCUUGCUCCUCUGACGUUAGCGGCGGACGGGUGAGUAACACGUGGAUAACCUACCUAUAAGACUGGGAUAACUUCGGGAAACCGGAGCUAAUACCGGAUAAUAUAUUGAACCGCAUGGUUCAAUAGUGAAAGACGGUUUUGCUGUCACUUAUAGAUGGAUCCGCGCCGCAUUAGCUAGUUGGUAAGGUAACGGCUUACCAAGGCGACGAUGCGUAGCCGACCUGAGAGGGUGAUCGGCCACACUGGAACUGAGACACAGUCCAGACUCCUACGGGAGGCAGCAGUAGGGAAUCUUCCGCAAUGGGCGAAAGCCUGACGGAGCAACGCCGCGUGAGUGAUGAAGGUCUUCGGAUCGUAAAACUCUGUUAUUAGGGAAGAACAAAUGUGUAAGUAACUAUGCACGUCUUGACGGUACCUAAUCAGAAAGCCACGGCUAACUACGUG
rnacentral:rRNA from 1 species